UACGGAGGGGGCUAGCGUUGUUCGGAAUUACUGGGCGUAAAGCGCACGUAGGCGGCUUUGUAAGUUAGAGGUGAAAGCCCCGGGGCUCAACUCCGGAAUUGCCUUUAAGACUGCAUCGCUAGAAUUGUGGAGAGGUAAGUGGAAUUCCGAGUGUAGAGGUGAAAUUCGUAGAUAUUCGGAAGAACACCAGUGGCGAAGGCGACUUACUGGACACAUAUUGACGCUGAGGUGCGAAAGCCAGGGGAGCGAACGGG
rnacentral:rRNA from 1 species